rnacentral:rRNA from 1 species
UACGAAGGGUGCAAGCGUUAGUCGGAAUUACUGGGCGUAAAGCGUGCGUAGGCGGUUUCUUAAGUCCGUUGUGAAAGCCCUGGGCUCAACCUGGGAACUGCAGUGGAUACUGAGAGGCUAGAGUGUGUCAGAGGAUGGUGGAAUUCCCGGUGUAGCGGUGAAAUGCGUAGAGAUCGGGAGGAACAUCAGUGGCGAAAGCGGCACCCUGGCGUCGUACUGACGCACAUGUGCGAAAGCGUGGGGAGCGAACGGG